UCCCUGUCCCCGGGGUCCAGUUUUCCCAGGAAUCCCUUGCAGAGUCACAUGGGGGAUUCCUGGAAAUACUGUUCUUGGGGGCGGGGU
rnacentral:pre_miRNA from 1 species